GACGAACGCUGGCGGCGCGCCUAACACAUGCAAGUCGAACGGAGCUUAAAGAGCUUGCUUUUUAAGCUUAGUGGCGAACGGGUGAGUAACGCGUGAGUAACCUGCCCUAGAGUGGGGGACAACAGUUGGAAACGACUGCUAAUACCGCAUAAGCCCACGGUACCGCAUGGUACUGAGGGAAAAGGAUUUAUUCGCUUUAGGAUGGACUCGCGUCCAAUUAGCUAGUUGGUGAGGUAACGGCCCACCAAGGCGACGAUUGGUAGCCGGACUGAGAGGUUGAACGGCCACAUUGGGACUGAGACACGGCCCAGACUCCUACGGGAGGCAGCAGUGGGGGAUAUUGCACAAUGGGGGAAACCCUGAUGCAGCGACGCCGCGUGGAGGAAGAAGGUUUUCGGAUUGUAAACUCCUGUCGUUAGGGACGAUAAUGA
rnacentral:rRNA from 1 species